AUAUUGAAACACCGAUUCUCGUACGAUCACCGAAGUUAAGCAACGUCGAACCUGGUCAGUACCUAGAUGGGUGACAGCUUGUAACUACCACGUGUUGUAA